GGUGUCAGCUCUCCGGUGUCAACCUGCCCGCCGCACCCUUGCUCAGAGGGGGAGGGCCCCGCUAUUUAAGGAUGCCCUACAGCCGGGAGAGCUGUGCCAAGGACGGGGAUCCCGAGUGCUGCCGGCGUUGCUUCUUCUGGGGGCUCUUCCACAGCUUGGAGACCACUGAGGAUGUGUGACCCCAACCAAGGCCCACCACAACCACACCUUGCAGUAUGCCCUCCCGCCCCUCCAGGAUACCCUAGUCCUGGCACAGGUUCCUACCCUGGUGGCAUUGCAGUUUGCCCUGCUGCUCCUCCAGGACACCCUGGUCCUGGCACAGGUCCCUACCCUGGCGGUGUGGCAGUCUGCCCCCCAUGCCCUGCUCCGCCUGGCCAGCACCCCCAUGGGCAGCCCCCGUUGGGACAUCAUCCUCAUGGACACCAGGAGCACCAUAAGAAGCACCAUAAGAAGCACCAUAAGAAGAAGCACUGCAAGCACCAUGAAGGCAGGCCCUCUGGUGGCUCAUGCAGCUCAAGCAGCAGCUCAAGCAGCAGCUCUGACUCUGACUAAAGGUCUGGCAUGUCCCACCUGCUCUGUGGUGAUCAGCAAAACAUGAGGCCAAACUCCUCGUGGGAACCCCCUGCAUGUCACUCCUCUUCCUCCCCCUUUCCCUUGGAGCAGUGUUUUGCCUGCUGAGUGAUUUUUCUUGUGUGCAAGAGCUUGUAAAUCCUUUGACCAGGAAUCUCCGAAUUAAUGGACAACAUUUCCACCCUCUAUCUUCCGGGAGAGCCUGCUGAAAUUCAACACAUGCUUUUCCAA